ACUGAACUUUCCUCCUGCAUGACAGAAACAGAUGGCAACUUUCUUGUUUUGAAAUAAGAUAGCGUCAGAAAUUCCUUACACACCUGCUAAGGCUUUGAAAAUUCAUGAAUAGAUGCUAAUAGGCCAAUGGUGAAGUUGGAAAAUACUAUGGAGUUUGCAAGUUAAGAGGUGUGGGAGAAAUGAGACAACCUUUUUGCCAUAAUUCGAAUAUCUGUUGAUGCUAAAGCCAGUGCUAUUGUGAAGCAGAUCUUAACAGCUGCCGCUACACUUCACCAAAAUUAGAGCAGUCUACUUUGAACUUCAUAUACUUUCGAUCUUAUGCAGAGGGUUCCUUAGAGAUGGAUCUCCACUGGCUUCUCUCCUGAACAUCUAACACCUACAGUUUAUGAUAAGAAGACAGAUUCUGAAUACUAAUAGAAAGCAGAGAUGCAGCCCCCUAGGACAUCUGAAGAAAAUUGGCUGGGCCAAGUGGGUUGAGACAUACACAGAAGCUCCAAAGAACAGCAUGCUGUUACAGUGCCCCAAACUAGUGUGCAUGUAUGUUACAGCAGUUUAAAUGAGAAGCAAUUCCAUUGAAAUUACCCUGUUAUAAAACCAGUGAGAACAGAACCAGGCACUUUCCCUAUUCCUUGGAAAUAUUCAUCCAUUAUGG